CGUAGGGUGCGAGCGUUAAUCGGAAUUACUGGGCGUAAAGCGUGCGCAGGCGGUUUUGUAAGACAGAUGUGAAAUCCCCGGGCUCAACCUGGGACCUGCAUUUGUGACUGCAAGGCUAGAGUACGGUAGAGGGGGAUGGAAUUCCGCGUGUAGCAGUGAAAUGCGUAGAUAUGCGGAGGAACACCGAUGGCGAAGGCAAUCCCCUGGACCUGUACUGACGCUCAUGCACGAAAGCGUGGGGAGCAAACAGGAUUAGAUACCCUGGUAGUCCACGCCCUAAACGACGUCAACUGGUUGUUGGGUCUUUACUGACUCAGUAACGAAGCUAACGCGUGAAGUUGACCGCCUGGGGAGUACGGCCGCAAGGUUG
rnacentral:rRNA from 1 species